GUAGCCAUUUUGAAAAAAGUGCCCUUUCAAUCAAUUCCUCAAAUACAUCAGCUAUACAGAAAGAGAAGGGGGGAUCAUGGGGGGCACAGUGUCUGCUUAGCAGUCCUGCCGCAACAUGAAAACUUUCCAGACGGCGGAUCCACGGCGAAAAGCCACUAAAGUCAUGAAUUUUUCAGGACAGACUGUUCAAACAGAGCGAUGCUCCUGGCCCCGUCGCUGUCGCCCUCCUCGUCUUCCUCGCGGAAGGCAGCUUCUGAAGGCCCUGCGAACGAGAACAAAAGGUCCUUUGCUGAAUGUUUUCACCGGAGUAAAAAUGCA